CUAAGAUCAAGUGUAGUAUCUGUUCUUAUCAGUGGUAAAAGAGGGCUAUCUGUUCUUGUUAGAACAGUCCUGGCGGUCCAUUAAGGACAAGAGCUGCAGAUUGCGGUGUAAAAUCGUAGCAAUGGCAGCU